GCUCCAGACUCCUACGGGAGGCAGCAGUGGGGAAUAUUGCACAAUGGGCGAAACCCUGAUGCAGCGACGCCGCGUGAGUGAAGAGGUAAUUCGUUAUGUAAAGCUCUAUCAGCAGGGAAGAAAAUGACGGUACCUGAGUAAGAAGCCCCGGCUAACUACGUGCCAGCAGCCGCGGUAAUACGUAGGGGGCAAGCGUUAUCCGGAUUUACUGGGUGUAAAGGGAGCGUAGACGGCAGUGCAAGUCUGGAGUGAAGGGCGGGGGCUCAACCCCCGGACUGCUCUGGAAACUGUACGGCUGGAGUGCAGGAGAGGUAAGUGGAAUUCCUAGUGUAGCGGUGAAAUGCGUAGAUAUUAGGAGGAACACCAGUGGCGAAGGCGGCUUACUGGACUGUAACUGACGUUGAGGCUCGAAAGCGUGGGGAGCAAACAGGAUUAGAUACCCCGGUAUC
rnacentral:rRNA from 1 species